rnacentral:rRNA from 1 species
GACGAACGCUGGCGGCGCGCUUAACACAUGCAAGUCGAACGGAAAGGCCUGCUUUCCCUUGUGGAUUGCGGGUACUCGAGUGGCGAACGGGUGAGUAACACGUGAGUGAUCUGCCCCCAACUUGGGUAUAAGCCUGGGAAACUGGGUCUAAUUCCCGAUAGGACUGCAGGGUGGUGCCUGUGGUGGAAAACGAUUUUCUAGUGGUUGGGGAUGAGCUCGCGGCCUAUCAGCUUGUUGGUGGGGUAAUGGCCUACCAAGGCGGCGACGGGUAGCCGGCCUGAGAGGGUGGACGGCCACAUUGGGACUGAGAUACGGCCCAGACUCCUACGGGAGGCAGCAGUGGGGAAUAGUGCACAAUGGGCGGAAGCCUGAUGCAGCGACGCGGCGUGGGGGAUGACGGCCUUCGGGUUGUAAACUCCUUUCGACCGCGAGGAAGCCACCUGGUUGGAAGGGUGGUGACGGUAGUGGUAGAAGAAGCACCGGCUAACUACGU